rnacentral:lncRNA from 1 species
UGUGUCCUAAGAAGGUAGUCUGCUCAAGCCAGAACCCACACUUACUCAACUUUGCAUACAGCUUCUUCUCCUUGAGAACCUACAAAACCUAAGUUAGAUGGUGAGCAUGUUCCUCUCUGCUCUUUGAAUAGACUAAGAUAUUAUUAACGAACACAAUGACAAACUAAUUUAGGAAUUGUCUGAAAAUCCUAUUCAUCAAGUCCAUGAAGAU